rnacentral:rRNA from 1 species
ACGGAAGGCAGCAGUGAGGAAUAUUGGUCAAUGGACGGAAGUCUGAACCAGCCAAGUCGCGUGAAGGAUGAAGGUAUUAUGUAUUGUAAACUUCUUUAGCAGUGGAGUAAUAAGGGGAUCGCGAUCCCUGAUGCAAGUACACUGAGAAUAAGGAUCGGCUAACUCCGUGCCAGCAGCCGCGGUAAUACGGAGGAUCCGAGCGUUAUCCGGAUUUAUUGGGUUUAAAGGGUGCGCAGGCGGCUUUUUAAGUCAGUGGUUAAAUCGUGACGCUCAACGUCAUCACGCCAUUGAUACUGGAGAGCUUGAUUGCGGUCGAGGUUUGCGGAAUUCGUUGUGUAGCGGUGAAAUGCAUAGAUAUGACGAAGAACACCGAUUGCGUAGGCAGCUGACCAAGCCGUAAAUGACGCUCAUGCACGAAAGUGCGGGGAUCGAACAGGAUUAGAUACCCUGGUA